rnacentral:rRNA from 1 species
UAAAAGUCGUAACAAGGUUUCCGUAGGUGAACCUGCGGAAGGAUCAUUAUUGAAAUAAACCUGAUGAGCUGUUGCUGGCUCUCUAGGGAGUAUGUGCACGCUUGUCGUCUUUAUAUCUCCACCUGUGCACUUUUUGUAGACCUGGAUAUCUCUCUGAUGCUUUUUAGCAUUUAGGUUGGAGGAUUGACUUGAUUGUCUUUCUUUACACUUCCAGGCCUAUGUUUCUUCAUAUACCCCAUUGUAUGUUACAGAAUGUAAUAAAUGGGCCUUUGUGCCUAUAAAAACCUUAUACAACUUUCAGCAACGGAUCUCUUGGCUCUCGCAUCGAUGAAGAACGCAGCGAAAUGCGAUAAGUAAUGUGAAUUGCAGAAUUCAGUGAAUCAUCGAAUCUUUGAACGCACCUUGCGCUCCUUGGUAUUCCGAGGAGCAUGCCUGUUUGAGUGUCAUUAAUAUAUCAACCUCUUCAGCUUUUGCUUGAGUGGUUGGAUGUGGGGGCUUUAAAUUUCUGCUGGACUUUUUUCUUUUUGAGAAGAUCAGCUCCCCUAAAAUAUAUUAGCAGAACAAUUUUGUUGACCGUUCAUUGGUGUGAUAAAUAUCUACGCUAUUGACGUGAAGCAAGUUCAGCUUCUAACAGUCCAUUGACUUGGACAAAUUUUUCAUUAAUGUGACCUCAAAUCAGGUAGGA